GGGGAUUUAGCUCAGUGGUAGAGUACCUGCCUAGCAAGCACAAGGCCCUGGGUUCGGUCCUCAGCUCCG
rnacentral:tRNA from 1 species